AACGAACGCUGGCGGCAGGCUUAACACAUGCAAGUCGAGCGCAUCCUUCGGGGUGAGCGGCGGACGGGUGAGUAACGCGUGGGAACGUGCCCUCUUCUACGGAAUAGCCUCGGGAAACUGAGAGUAAUGCCGUAUACGCCCGCAAGGGGAAAGAUUUAUCGGAGGAGGAUCGGCCCGCGUUGGAUUAGGUAGUUGGUGGGGUAACGGCCUACCAAGCCGACGAUCCAUAGCUGGUUUGAGAGGAUGAUCAGCCACACUGGGACUGAGACACGGCCCAGACUCCUACGGGAGGCAGCAGUGGGGAAUCUUGGACAAUGGGGGCAACCCUGAUCCAGCCAUGCCGCGUGAUCGUUGAAGGCCUUAGGGUUGUAAAGAUCUUUCAGCUGGGAAGAUAAUGACGGUACCAGCAGAAGAAGCCCCGGCUAACUCCGUG
rnacentral:rRNA from 1 species